GCUGGGCAUGGAGGUGCACACCUGUAGUUCCAGCUACUUUGGAGGCUGAGGCGGGAGGAUUGCUUGGGCCCAGGAGUUUGAGGUUCCAGUGAGCUAUGAUUGCACCACUGCACUCCAGCCUGGGCAACACAGCAAGAUCCUGUCUUAU
rfam:Homo sapiens chromosome 8 genomic contig HG76_PATCH, GRC reference assembly FIX PATCH for GRCh38.